rnacentral:rRNA from 1 species
GAUCCUGGCUCAGGACGAACGCUGGCGGCGUGCCUAAUACAUGCAAGUAGAACGCUGAAGGAGGAGCUUGCUCUUUCCGGAUGAGUUGCGAACGGGUGAGUAACGCGUAGGUAACCUGCCUGGUAGCGGGGGAUAACUAUUGGAAACGAUAGCUAAUACCGCAUAAUAGUAGAUAUCGCAUGAUAACUGCUUAAAAGGUGCAAUUGCAUCACUACCAGAUGGACCUGCGUUG